UCCAAAUGUACUUCCCCCAUGGUUGAUUUUUCAUUAUAGGAUUCAAUUUUUUUUUUCAUUAAGCAACUACAUCCAGUUUACUUUUUGUUUCUUUGUAGGAUGCUGGAAUAGGAACAAGUAUUGACUCUUUUUAUGAGUAUCUCUUAAAGGUAUGUAGAGGUAAAUAUGGAUUCUUGCUGCUAUCGUCUGGCCAUUAUUUAAUAGUCUGCAGGCAUUUGGCCAGGCCUUCAGGUUUUAGCAGGAGACAUUGAUCCUGCCAUUCGAACACAUGCUGCCUUCUUUAGCGUCUGGAAAAGAUACGGUUUCACUCCAGAAGGUUUUAAUCUUGCUACUCUAAGUGUUCAGAAUGGGCAGAAGAGGUAUCCACUCCGUCCAGAGUUAAUA